rnacentral:rRNA from 1 species
CUGGGGCUGGAGAAGGUCCCAAGGGUCCGGCUGUUCGCCGGUUAAAGCGGUACGUGAGCUGGGUUCAGUACGUCGUGAGACAGUACGGUCCCUAUCUGCAGUGGGCGCAGGAAUCUUGAGGGGAGUCGAUCACAGUACGAGAGGACCUGAUUGAACGUACCUCCCGUAUCGGAGUUAUCCCGCCAGGGGUACAUGCUCCGUAGCGGUGUGCGGAUCGGAUAACCGCUGAAAGCAUCUAAGUGGGAAACCGACCCCAAGAUAAGGAUUCCCGGACCGCAAGGUCCCUGAAGGCCACCCGUAGACUACGGGUUUGAUAGGGGAGAGGUGGAAGCUGAGUAAUCAGUGUAGCCAACUCCUACUAAUCGGCCGUGCGGCUUAGCCACAU